rnacentral:rRNA from 1 species
GCGACGACGGGUAGCCGGCCUGAGAGGGCGACCGGCCACACUGGGACUGAGACACGGCCCAGACUCCUACGGGAGGCAGCAGUGGGGAAUAUUGCACAAUGGGCGAAAGCCUGAUGCAGCGACGCCGCGUGAGGGAUGACGGCCUUCGGGUUGUAAACCUCUUUCAGCAGGGAAGAAGCGAGAGUGACGGUACCUGCAGAAGAAGCGCCGGCUAACUACGUGCCAGCAGCCGCGGUAAUACGUAGGGCGCAAGCGUUGUCCGGAAUUAUUGGGCGUAAAGAGCUCGUAGGCGGCUUGUCACGUCGGAUGUGAAAGCCCGGGGCUUAACCCCGGGUCUGCAUUCGAUACGGGCAGGCUAGAGUUCGGUAGGGGAGAUCGGAAUUCCUGGUGUAGCGGUGAAAUGCGCAGAUAUCAGGAGGAACACCGGUGGCGAAGGCGGAUCUCUGGGCCGAUACUGACGCUGAGGAGCGAAAGCGUGGGGAGCGAACAGGAUUAGAUACCCUGGUAGUCCACGCCGUAAACGUUGGGAACUAGGUGUGGGCGACAUUCCACGUCGU